rnacentral:rRNA from 1 species
UACGGGGGGGGGCAAGCGUUUGUUCGGAAUUACUGGGCGUAAAGGGCUCGUAGGUGGCCAACUAAGUCAGACGUGAAAUCCCUCGGCUUUAACCGGGGAACUGCGUCUGAUACUGGAUGGCUUGAGUUUGGGAGAGGGACGUGGAAUUCCAGGUGUAGCGGUGAAAUGCGUAGAUAUCUGGAGGAACACCGGUGGCGAAGGCGGCAUCCUGGACCAACACUGACGCUGAGUGAGCGAAAAGCCAGGGGGAGCAAAACGGGG